ensembl:lncRNA
CAAACUAAUGUUCGGAAGACAACCGCGACUACCAAUUGACCUUGCGUUUGGUUUACUUGUGGAUGGACAGUCUGAAUCACACUCUAAGUACGUUCAUGGUCUCAAGAACUGACUGGAAGAAAGCUACAAGUUUGCAAUGAAAAAUCCUGCAAAGGAAGCAGAACAAAUCAAGAAGAGGUAUGACAAAAACAUUGUUAUUUCCACUCUUGAAGUCAGUGAUUGUGUACUUGUGAAAGAUGUUUGUCUGAAAGGCACACACAAGCUCGCGGAUAAGUGGGAACCUGAUGUUUACAUGGUAACAAAGAAAGCAGAUGACUUACCCGUUACACGGUAAAACCCGAAAGAAAAGAUGGACCUCUGAGAACUCUGCACAGGGAUCUACUGCUAACUUGUGGAUUUCUGUCGACAAGCACACCUUAUGAGCCUGUUGAACCAGAGCCAGAUGUGCUGAGGAAUCUGAGGAGUUUGAAACUGUGAAUGAGCAUCCACAAUCAGAAAAAGACCUGAAAGUUGCAAAGCCUUGAGUCUUAUAUCCAAAGAGAUAUUCUUUAUAAAAGUUAAGACUUGUCCACACCCCCACAUCUCUACGUCACUAUGUGGGAAGAUUUGCAUAACACCGCCCAGAUGUUCACUUGAAGAAAGACGAUAUCUGCUUCGUCAUGCCUGGAGCUGAUCCGUGCUGGUCGCUGAGGAAAUACAUCAACUUUGCAAUGUGGAUCGGCAGAUCCGAUUGCACCGUGGAAAAAGUCCAGCUCGGGGUCGUCACAUGUGGUUGCCACAAGCUCCUUCGUAGAAUCCACCGGCCGCGCCGUUCUCAAGCCCACCAGUCUCUGCUCACUCAAGCCGGCCUCUGCUCACUCUAAACUGCGGCUCACUCUAGGCCUCCGGCCGCCACUCACUCAAGGCCGUUGUGUGACGUUUUGUUGAGAAAGCGAAACUACUUUGUUUGGCCUUCCAAAAUAGGACAAGACUAGAAAUCAUGUUUAUAUAACGUUUAUAAUGGGUUUUAUGUUUAUGUCUCGUCACUCUAGCCGGACAGGGCAUCACAAUAUGUUAAGGGGCGUAACAUUUCCAUCACAAGCUUGAGGUAUUCAGCCAGUCACAAUGCACUGGAUAGCUGGUCAAUCAGAGCACACCUCGCUUUUCAGACCGAUGAGCCUUGUAAAAAUCGACGCGUUUCAGAAGGUGGGGCAUAGAGGAGAAACAAUAAUGUACAAUAUGUGGAAAAUAAUGUGUUUUUUGACCCUUAAACUGCAACUUAAAUUUCAUUACGCCAAAUACACAAAAUAAUGUUCUUUUUAGCAGCAUCAUAUGACCCCUUUAAUAUUAUAUCAUACUAAAUCAUCAUCAUUGAAGUAACUUUUCCGCAAGCUGAGGUAAAUACUGAUAUAUGAAAGAUGCCGUGUCACACACACUAACACAAAACAUCAUCAUGGUAACACACGUGACAUUAAAAUAAUGCACACGUGACAUUAAAAUAAUGUAAUAAACAUUAAAUAAACAACAUAAGCUAUAACCCAUGUGUACAUGAUAGCACAAAUUAACAUGAAAAGUAAUUGUUUAAAUAGCAUCAAAAUGUAAAGCCUAAUACAAGUAAUUCUGGGCUUUUUUUGACUAAAUUAUAUGAUGACUUUUUAUUUUAAAAGUCUGAACAUUUUAUUUUACUGUAAAAAUACUCAAAGUGCUCUAUUAGGUCUAUUAUAACUUGCUUUUUACCAAUUGACAGGUAUGUUUACUCUUUAUUUGAAGGUGACCUUGUUACAGUGCAAUUAUACAUUUAAAUACUACUGAGUAAUAUUAAUUAACUACGUGUACUUGCUUAUAUGGUUAAGGUUAGGAUUAGGGUUUGGCUUAGGGUUAUUGGCAUAUAAUUAUGCAUAAUUAAUUGUUAUUAUAAUAGUAAGUGCAUUUUUUCAGCACACUUUAAGGCAAAAAUUCUGAUAGUUAAUGGGUACUUACCUGUGUACUUACACUUAGCAGAAAACUUUUUUUAUUAUGUGUCACGAGUGGUUGACCACAUUAUAGAGCAAAAGACAUGGAUUUCUAAAAUAUCAUCUAGUAUCCAGAGUUCAUAUUAGUCAUAUGCAAUACAGAACACAAGGCUCCUCACUAAAGUGAACCAUAAGCAUGCUAUUAGUGGGUAUUGAAGUUGAAUGUCAUAAGUUUGGUAAUGUACCAGGAAACACACGGAUGAAUAUAUGUAACAGUGGAUGGUUAUGUGAUGUGGCCCGAGUUGCACAGAUGGAAAUAAGGCAUGCUUUCUUCCCAAACCAUAAUGGACGUAUGAGGAGCUGUUAAACAAGAAUGAAUUAUUCAUGAUUUGUGUGAACGGUUGAACGUAAUGUUCUGCCCUUUCUAGGUUGUUUUGGGGUCUUAAUGACUUAAGCUCUGAUGUAAUUUUCGGUAACUCUCUGUACUUAGAAUGUUGAACAGAUGUAAAUGUGCAAAAGAUAGAUGGCACAAUCAAUAAAAAUCCACUAGAAGUGCACAAUUAAUGUCUGUGAGACAAACUCAGGAGUGUGAAAAUGUAACACAGUGUUGGCCGUAUAGAGAGAUGAUAGUGCCAGGCACUGAGGGACCGAAAGAUGAUCCCAAAUGCCAACACACUGAUAGGAAAAGAGAGCCCUGGCAGAACAGUGGUGGCCAGUACACAAGGCAUGCUAGCCAGUCAAUCUAAAAAGCAUCUGUAGUUGAAUUGAAUUACACUUUAUUGCUGGAUAUGAAAAUCAUUAUGGGCAGAAAUAAACAAUUUGAAUAAUUACUCCCAUUUAAGUUGACUGAUAAUGGUUAUUACGAUUAUUAAAAAGUUAUAUUAUCUACAGUAUGUGUG